GAUGAACGCUGGCGGCGUGCCUAAUACAUGCAAGUCGAGCGAACAGACGAGGAGCUUGCUCCUCUGAUGUUAGCGGCGGACGGGUGAGUAACACGUGGAUAACCUACCUAUAAGACUGGGAUAACUUCGGGAAACCGGAGCUAAUACCGGAUAACAUGUUGAACCGCAUGGUUCAACAGUGAAAGACGGUCUUGCUGUCACUUAUAGAUGGAUCCGCGCCGCAUUAGCUAGUUGGUAAGGUAACGGCUUACCAAGGCAACGAUGCGUAGCCGACCUGAGAGGGGGAUCGGCCACACGGGAACUGAGACACGGUCCAGACUCCUACGGGAGGCAGCAGUAGGGAAUCUUCCGCAAUGGGCGAAAGCCUGACGGAGCAACGCCGCGUGAGUGAAGAAGGUCUUCGGAUCGUAAAACUCUGUUAUUAGGGAAGAACAAAUGUGUAAGUAACUAUGCACGUCUUGACGGUACCUAAUCAGAAAGCCACGGCUAACUACGUG
rnacentral:rRNA from 1 species